rnacentral:rRNA from 1 species
CUGGAAGAUAAUAUUCUAGCGGCGGACGGGUGAGUAACGCGUGAGCAAUCUGUCCCAGACAGGGGGAUAACAGAUGGAAACAUCUGCUAAUACCGCAUAAGACCACGGAUGGGCAUCCAUAUGAGGUAAAAGAGAUAUCGGUUUGGGGUGAGCUCGCGUCCGAUUAGGUAGUUGGUGAGGUAACGGCCCACCAAGCCAGCGAUCGGUAGCCGACCUGAGAGGGUGAUCGGCCACAUUGGAACUGAGACACGGUCCAGACUCC